rnacentral:rRNA from 1 species
AGUGAACGCUGGCGGUAGGCCUAACACAUGCAAGUCGAACGGCAGCACAGUAAGAGCUUGCUCUUACGGGUGGCGAGUGGCGGACGGGUGAGGAAUACAUCGGAAUCUACUUUUUCGUGGGGGAUAACGUAGGGAAACUUACGCUAAUACCGCAUACGACCUACGGGUGAAAGCAGGGGAUCUUCGGACCUUGCGCGAUUGAAUGAGCCGAUGUCGGAUUAGCUAGUUGGCGGGGUAAAGGCCCACCAAGGCGACGAUCCGUAGCUGGUCUGAGAGGAUGAUCAGACACACUGGAACUGAGACACGGUCCAGACUCCUACGGGAGGCAGCAGUGGGGAAUAUUGGACAAUGGGCGCAAGCCUGAGCCAGCCAUACCGCGUGGGUGAAGAAGGCCUUCGGGUUGUAAAGCCCUUUUGUUGGGAAAGAAAAGCAGCAGGUUAAUACCCCGCUGUUCUGACGGUACCCAAAGAAUAAGCACCGGCUAACUUCGU